UACAGAGGUCCCGAGCGUUGUUCGGAUUCACUGGGCGUAAAGGGUGCGCAGGUGGGUUGGCAAGUUUGAUGUGAAAGCCCCGGGCUUAACCCGGGAAAGGCAUUGAAUACUGCUGAUCUGGAGGAUCGGAGGGGGGACUGGAAUUCUUGGUGUAGCAGUGAAAUGCGUAGAUAUCAAGAGGAACACCAGUGGCGAAGGCGAGUCCCUGGACGAUCACCUGACACUGAGGCACGAAAGCCAAGGGAGCAAACAGG
rnacentral:rRNA from 1 species